rnacentral:rRNA from 1 species
UAACCCGCACCACUUAUCGUGGUGGGAGACAGUGUCAGGCGGGCAGUUUGACUGGGGCGGUCGCCUCCUAAAAGGUAACGGAGGCGCUCAAAGGGUCCCUCAGAAUGGUUGGAAAUCAUUCAUAGAGGGUAAAGGCAUAAGGGAGCUUGACUGCGAGACCUACAAGUCGAGCAGGGUCGAAAGACGGACUUAGUGAUCCGGUGGUUCCGCAUGGAAGGGCCA